AUACGGAGGAUGCGAGCGUUAUCCGGAUUUAUUGGGUUUAAAGGGAGCGUAGGCGGGAGCUUAAGUCAGCGGUUAAAUGGUGCGGCUCAACCGUGCCCUGCCGUUGAAACUGGGUUUCUUGAGAGUGCAAGAGGCGGAUGGAAUUCCAGGUGUAGCGGUGAAAUGCUUAGAUAUCAUGAAGAACUCCGAUUGCGAAGGCAGUCCGCUGGGGCACGUCUGACGCUGAUGCUCGAAGGUGCGGGAAUCAAACAGGAUUAGAUAUCCUGGUAGUCCGCACGGUAAACGAUGAUUACCCGCUGUCGGCGGCAGACAGUCGGCGGCCAAGCGAAAGCGAUACGUAAUCCACCUGGGGAGUACGUUCGCAAGAAUGAAACUCAAAUGAAUUGGCGGGG
rnacentral:rRNA from 1 species